rnacentral:rRNA from 1 species
AUUGAACGCUGGCGGCAUGCCUUACACAUGCAAGUCGAACGGCAGCGGGGGUAGCUUGCUACCUGCCGGCGAGUGGCGAACGGGCGAGUAAUACAUCAGAACGUGCCCUGUAGUGGGGGAUAACUAGUCGAAAGACUAGCUAAUACCGCAUACGACCUGAGGGUGAAAGUGGGGGACCGCAAGGCCUCAUGCUAUAGGAGCGGCCGAUGUCUGAUUAGCUAGUUGGUGGGGUAAAGGCCCACCAAGGCGACGAUCAGUAGCUGGUCUGAGAGGACGAUCAGCCACACUGGGACUGAGACACGGCCCAGACUCCUACGGGAGGAAGCAGUGGGGAAUUUUGGACAAUGGGGGCAACCCUGAUCCAGCAAUGCCGCGUGUGUGAAGAAGGCCUUCGGGUUGUAAAGCACUUUUGUCCGGAAAGAAAUCGCACUGGUUAAUACCUGGUGUGGAUGACGGUACCGGAAGAAUAAGGACCGGCUAACUACGUGCCAGCAGCCGCCGUAA